GAGAGAGAGAGAGAGAGAGAGAGAGAAGAGAGAGAGAGAGAGAGAGAGAAAGAGAGAUGAUAGAAAGCGAUGAUGUUUGAAGAUCAGAAUCAACUUAUAUUUACCGUAAUACCGAUUUCCACCAGGAGGAAAUGAAAUAAACAGCUGAUCGAAUCUUUAAUAUUAUUAUCUUUCCAUAUUUUCUAACAUAUAUUUCCUAUCAUGCGUUAUAGUUUCCAUGAAUGACUACUCAAGUCUGAAGUAUUGGUAGUGAAAGUUUUGCUCGGAGCAGGAAGAAAAAAAAAAAAAAAAAAAGAAAAGGAAGAAAGAAAGAAAAAAAAAGACGAAAAAAGAAAAAAGUAUAUAAUACGGCGUUAGAAUAUAUACGUGUGUAUCUCUCUGUGUGUGGGUGUGUGUGUAUGUGUGUGCGUAUUUUACGGUGUUUUACGAUGAAGAAAUUCACUUUCAAAAGGGAAACAAUUGCAUCUAGAUUUUAUUAAUAGAGACUCCUGUAUGGACGAUGAUGCUGGAUACGUCGUCGUGAGUAUGUAUAUACACGUGAGUAAGUGAAUAGCCAAUAAUCGAUAUCCCAAGAGUAAAUGAGAUCGACGAUGGGACGAUCUUCUUCCUCCUCCUUUUUCAUUGAAAUAUUAAAAGGCUUGUGUCUGCGGACCCAAUUGCAAGUCAUUAAUUGCCAGUGAUCAAGCAACAACUGCUGGAGCUCGCUAAGUUAAUUACUAAGGAUCAUCGAACGAUCCUCGUGCUCGAUCGGUAAUAGGAAUUCCAAAGGUAGAAAAUGGCAUCGAAAAAGACCAACAGGAAGAAAGUUAGGAAUUGGAAUGUGUUGGCGAGCAAUGUUCGGACAUCAACCUCGGGCACUCGGCCCGCGUUUACCACACACACACACACAAACACACAAGCACACCCGUUGAUCCAUCCAUCCAUCCAUCCAUCCAUCCAUCCAUCCAUCCAUCCAUCCAUCCAUCCAUCCAUCCAUCCAUCCAUCCUUCCAU